AUUUUCCAAUAGGAUGCUUCCAGAAAGAGUGAUUUCUUCCUCCUCAGUGAUUUCACCAAUUGUUUCCUAUUCAAAUUUUUAGAACUUACCAAAUUUGAUUGUUACCAUCGAGUUCUGUGCCUGGCUUGUUCAGGAGGCUGGAUUUCUACUAGGAAUGCCAAUGAGAGGACUGGGAGCCAGACAAGGGGCAUGACAGGCUCCUAGUAGCCCGGCCAGGGAGCAGGCCUUAGUUUUGGUUUUACUGGAGCUGGCUAGAGCUGAAUAACCAUUUCAGGGGAGUGGGGGUAGAAGGGGGACCCACAAUUCAGGGGCAACCAAUGAGCAGGUGCCCCACAGCCUUCUACUAGCUGAAGAAAGCUUUUCCUAUCCUGCCGCUGGAAAGUCCCUAACCACUAGAGCCACCUCUCAAUCCUGUAACAACCCAUAAACUUUUUGUUUAAACCCACCAAUCAUCCCCUAGACUAAUCUCUCCUCCCUAGAAUUCCCCUAGCCCUGCUUAAAAGGAGCCUGUGAGCUUCUCUCAAGGAUGCCAUUUGUCACUUUGUCAGAUGGUUAGACCCUAACAUCUUGGUCAUUUUUAAUAAAUGUUCUUGUUGAUCGCA